rnacentral:rRNA from 1 species
AGAGUUUGAUCAUGGCUCAGGAUGAACGCUGGCUGUGUGCCUUAUACAUGCAUGUCGAGCGAGACACUUCGGUGUCUAGCGGCAAAUGGGUGAGUAACACGUACUUAACCUACCCCAAAGAUUGGGACAACAGUUGGAAACGACUGCUAAUACCGAAUACACUACUUGGUGGCAUCACCGAGUAAUGAAAGAUGCGUUUGCAUCGCUAUGGGAUGGGAGUGCGCUACAUUAGUUAGUUGGUAGGGUAAAGGCCUACCAAGACGAUGAUGUAUAGCGGGGUUGAGAAGCUGAUCCGCCACACUGGGACUGAGAUACGGCCCAGACUUCUACGGAAGGCAGCAGUAGGGAAUUUUCCACAAUGGGCGAAAGCCUGAUGGAGCGACACAGCGUGCAGGACGAAGCCCUUAGGGGUGUAAACUGCUGUUAUAGGGGAAGAAAAACCUAAGUAGGAAAUGACUUAGACUUGACGGUACCCUGUCAGAAAGCACCGGCAAAUUAUGUGCCAGCAGCCGCGGUAAUACAUAAGGUGCAAGCGUUAUCCGGAAUUAUUGGGCGUAAAGCGUUCGUAGGUGGUUUAUUAAGUCUGAAGUUAAAGCCCGGGGCUCAACCCCGGCCCGCUUUGGAUACUGAUAGACUAGAGUUAUAGAGAGGCAGGUGGAACUCCAUGUGAAGCGGUGGAAUGCGUAGAUAUGUGGAAGAACACCAAUGGCGAANGCAGCCUGCUGGCUAUACACUGACACUGAGGGACGAAAGCGUGGGGAGCAAACAGGAUUAGAUACCCUGGUAGUCCACGCCGUAAACGAUGUUCGCUAGCUGGUGGAGUAUUCACUGGCGCAGCUAACGCAUUAAGCGAACCGCCUGAGUAGUAUGCGCGC